AGGGCGAACGAGUUUGUCGGAUUAGACCCGAAACCAGUCGAUCUAGCCAUGGACAGGCUGAAGGUGCGGUAACACGCACUGGAGGGCCGAACCGGUGUCUGUUGAAAAAGCCUCGGAUGAUCUGUGGUUAGGGGUGAAAGGCCAAUCAAGGCUGGAGAUAGCUGGUUCUCCGCGAAAGCUAUUGAGGUAGCGCCUCACGUGAAUACUCCAGGGGGUAGAGCACUGGAUGGGCUAGGGGUCCAUAACGGAUUACCAAACCUAACCAAACUCCGAAUACCUGGAAGUACUGCGUGGGAGACACACGGCGGGUGCUAACAUCCGUCGUGAAGAGGGAAACAACCCUGACCGCCAGCUAAGGUCCCCAAAUCGUGGCUAAGUUGGAAAGGAUGUGAGGAUCCCAAAACAACCAGGAGGUUGGCUUAGAAGCAGCCAUCCUUUAAAGAAAGCGUAACAGCUCACUGGUCUAAACAAGGGUCUUUGCGCCGAAAAUGUAACGGGGAUCAAGCCACGUACCGAAGCUGCGGGUGUGCGAAAGCACGCGGUAGCGGAGCGUUCCGUAAGCCAGUGAAGGACGACCCGUGAGGGCGUCUGGAGGUAUCGGAAGAGCGAAUGCUGACAUGAGUAACGAAAACAGUGUGAGAAACACUGUCGCCGAAAGUCCAAGGGUUCCUGCGUAAAGCUAAUCUGCGCAGGGUUAGCCGGCCCCUAAGGCGAGGCAGAAAUGCGUAGUCGAUGGGAACCACGUUAAUAUUCGUGGGCCAGCGGGUGGUGACGAAUCCAAAUCGUAGUUCGGGAUUAUCGGAUUUCCCGGGCUGCCGGAGGGUUCCAGGAAAUAGCCCCCGCAUCAGACCGUACCCGAAACCGACACAGGUGGACUGGUAGAGCAUACCAAGGCGCUUGAGAGAACGAUGCUGAAGGAACUCGGCAAAUUGCCCUCGUAACUUCGGGAGAAGAGGGCCCCGUGUGCGGGCAACCGUGCGCGGGGGGCACAGACCAGGGGGUGGCGACUGUUUAACAAAAACACAGGGCUCUGCGAAGCCGCAAGGCGACGUAUAGGGUCUGACGCCUGCCCGGUGCCGGAAGGUUAAGAGGAGGGGUGCAAGCUCUGAAUCGAAGCCCCGGUAAACGGCGGCCGUAACUAUAACGGUCCUAAGGUAGCGAAAUUCCUUGUCGGGUAAGUUCC
rnacentral:rRNA from 1 species